rnacentral:snRNA from 1 species
GGAUAUGAGGGCCAUCUGGCUGCUACACCUGUCACUCCUUUGAACGCCAGCGUGACUUGGCUGAGCAGGCUGCCAGGUGCAUGUCUCCUCCUCCCUCAAUGCUCCUGAAGCUUCGAAGUCUGCCGAGGAGGGUGAACACCCCCCCCCCCCCCCCGCCAUAUCCUCAGACAAGGACACAUGAGGAACUGUGCUCCCCCUCUAGAACCUCCAGACAAGCUCUCAAGGUCCCUUUUAAACCUAACGCCCUUUGGCUUGGUAGAGUCCUAUUUAAAUUCCAUCCUUGCUUGGUCACUAAUUUACAAUGUGACUUUGGGA